UAUUCACGAAAUAUUUCAUUCACAUUUGAUUUCUUUUCUGACAUGAAAACCACCCUAAUCCUGGAAAACCGUAUCAUGGCCUUUCCCGCCAAGGUUACCUUCCGGACAAUGAAGAGGGACGUCUCAUUCUGGGAAUGCUUAAACGUGCUUUCGAACAUCGUCUGAUAUUCACGGUUGGUUUUUCUCGAACUUCCGGUAGAGACAACGUGGUCACGUGGAACGACAUCCAUCACAAAACAAGGAGAGAUGGAGGGCCUGAAAAAUUUGGUUAUCCAGAUCCAGAAUACUUAGCAAGAGUUAGAGAUGAACUGAAGGCCAAAGGAAUUUCAGAGGAAUGAAAACUGAGACUUUUCCUGAAAUGACAAUAAAGAUGAUGUUCUUUAGGCCAUCGGUACAAUUUUGUUUGUUUGCCCUUUGGAGUUCUGGCUAAAAUUAGACCAACUCAAAACUUUUUUUAACAUGCAGGAAACAAUUUUUUCUCUCUCCAGAAUAUUUGCAACCCGACAACAUCUAUUUUGGGGUUUAUUAAUAAACACCACCACCCACCGCUUUUAAAAAAGAUGUUGAGCAUUCAGCAUUUAUGUUGAAAAUCCAUAAGAAAAAAUUGCCCACCUACCUACUGACCCAUUUUUUCAUCCUGAGACUUGAGAGGGUAAACAAACAAUAUUUUCUUGAAGAAGACUUUACAUGUACAUUUCUCCCUAACAUUAUACUCCUACAAUUUUGCUUCUAUUAAUUAUUCCACAAUGCUUUUUUCUAAAAAAUGAUAUGUUUUUGUCGGUGUUGCAAAGACGCCAGUAUUAUUCCAACAUUUUAAAAUAGUCUUCUUGAGAUAUCAAUGCCAUUUUCGUUUUGUAAAAUCAUUCUCCAUGCAAUGCUCUAUUCAAUGAAACUGUAUUUUAAUAUGGUCCAUAAGAAUACAAGAAAGGUAGAUUUUCCCGAAAAUCUGAGUGUAAACAGAAGUCAAUGUACCCUCCAUAUCCGUAUUUUAAAAAAAAAACGUUUCUAUGCUGUAGUUUUUGUACACACACACAGAAACUAAAAACAAGUCAGGUAUUUUAAUAAAAUCGUAGCAUACAGGUAAACUUUUCAGAAGUAAAACUAAUGGGUUUCAUUGACUGGACCUUACUACAAUGAACAUUUUCUUAAUCUAUUUUGAAUAAUGCUCUCCUGUUCGUAUGAAUUAAUUCAUAGAAAUGUAAUGGAUUGAAAUGAAUACUUUUAUAUUUAAUUAAUAAAUAGACGUUGACAUUUAA